AUGAAGAACGUAGCGAAAUGCGAUAAGUAGUGUGAAUUGCAGAAUUCAGUGAAUCAUCGAAUCUUUGAACGCACAUUGCGCCCCUUGGUAUCCCGAGGGGCAUGCCUGUUCGAGCGUCAUUUCACCACUCAAGCCUGGCUUGGUGUUGGGCGACGUCCCCUUUGGGGACGCGCCUCGAAACGCUCGGCGGCGUGGCACCGGCUUUAAGCGUAGCAGAAUCUUUCGCUUUGGAAGUCGGGGCCCCGUCUGCCGGAAGACCUACUCGCAAGGUUGACCUCGGAUCAGGCAGGGAUACCCGCUGAACUUAAGCAUAUCAAUAAGCGGAGGA
rnacentral:misc_RNA from 1 species